GACGAACGCUGGCGGCGUGCUUAACACAUGCAAGUCGAACGGAAAGGCCCUGCUUGCAGGGUACUCGAGUGGCGAACGGAUGAGUAACACGUGGGUGAUCUGCCCUGCACUUCGGGAUAAGCCUGGGAAACUGGGUCUAAUACCGGGUAGGAGCCAUUUUUAGUGUGAUGGUUGGAAAGUUUUUUCGGUGUAGGAUGAGCUCGCGGCCUAUCAGCUUGUUGGUGGGGUAAUGGCCUACCAAGGCGGCGACGGGUAGCCGGCCUGAGAGGGUGGACGGCCACAUUGGGACUGAGAUACGGCCCAGACUCCUACGGGAGGCAGCAGUGGGGAAUAUUGCACAAUGGGCGCAAGCCUGAUGCAGCGACGCCGCGUGGGGGAUGACGGCCUUCGGGUUGUAAACUCCGUUCGCUAGGGACGAAGCUUUUUGUGACGGUACCUAGAUAAGAAGCACCGGCUAACUACGUG
rnacentral:rRNA from 1 species